rnacentral:rRNA from 1 species
AGAGUUUGAUCCUGGCUCAGGACGAACGCUGGCGGCGUGCCUAACACAUGCAAGUCGAACGAAGUAAGUUGCUUCACCAAACGUUAAAGUAUCACCUCAAGCACAUUUUCAGUUAUAGGUAAAAGUGCAAGAGGGAGAAAAAGGUGACAGCAAGAUAAGGCUGAAGCAAGAAGCAAAUGUGCUUCACGCUCAUAUAGCUUGCCAACACACUCAUAGAAAUUAGAAGAUUUUAGUGUUUGGUGAAGUAACUUACUUAGUG